rnacentral:rRNA from 1 species
AUUGAACGCUGGCGGCAGGCCUAACACAUGCAAGUCGAACGAGCGGCGGACGGGUGAGUAAUGUCUGGGAAACUGCCCGAUGGAGGGGGAUAACUACUGGAAACGGUAGCUAAUACCGCAUACGAUCGGAUGAGCCGAUAUCGGAUUAGCUAGUAGGUGGGGUAACGGCUCACCAAGGCGACGAUCCCUAGCUGGUCUGAGAGGAUGAUCAGCCACACUGGAACUGAGACACGGUCCAGACUCCUACGGGAGGCAGCAGUGGGGAAUAUUGGACAAUGGGCGCAAGCCUGAUGCAGCCAUGCCGCGUGUAUGAAGAAGGCCUUCGGGUUGUAAAGUCCUUUUGGUGGGAAAGCGGUACCCAAAGAAUAAGCACCGGCUAACUUCGUGCCAGCAGCCGCGGUAAUUC